rnacentral:rRNA from 1 species
CCUACGGGUGGCAGCAGUGAGGAAUAUUGGUCAAUGGACGAGAGUCUGAACCAGCCAAGUAGCGUGAGGGAAGACGGUCCUAUGGAUUGUAAACCUCUUUUGUCGGGGAGCAAAAAGGUCUCGUGAGGCCACAAGUGAGAGUACCCGAAGAAAAAGCAUCGGCUAACUCCGUGCCAGCAGCCGCGGUAAUACGGAGGAUGCGAGCGUUAUCCGGAUUUAUUGGGUUUAAAGGGUGCGUAGGCGGAUUUUUAAGUCAGCGGUAAAAUGUCCGGGCUCAACCCGGGCCGGCCGUUGAAACUGGGGAUCUUGAGUGGGCGAGAAGUAUGCGGAAUGCGUGGUGUAGCGGUGAAAUGCAUAGAUAUCACGCAGAACUCCGAUUGCGAAGGCAGCAUACCGGCGCCCGACUGACGCUGAGGCACGAAAGCGUGGGGAUCGAACAGGAUUAGAUACCCGAGUAGUC